GGAGAGGUGCCAGAGUCUGGUUGAAUGGGGCGGUCUCGAAAACCGUUGAGCCUUUUUGGCUCCGGGAGUUCGAAUCUCCCCCUCUCCG
rnacentral:tRNA from 1 species